CGUAGGUGGAUAAUUAAAAACAUAGUAAAAGACUGAGGAGAACCCUCUUUAAUCUAAGUUCACUGAUUAUCUUGAGUGCUGAUGGCGGUUUUUGAAUUUUUGAAGGAAGGGUGAAAUUGUUGAUAUUGAAAGACAUUCGAUAGCGAAAGCAAUAACCGAGUCGGUUCUGACACUAGGUACUAAAGUAUGGGGAUAAAGAGGAUUAGAGACCUCGUAGUCCAUACCUUAAACAAUGAGUAUUCAACAUCUUUUAGUAUUAAUAUACUAUCUGGGGUUUACAGCUAACGCGUGAAAUACCGCCUGGGGAAUGUGGCCGCAAGGUUAAACUCAAAGGAAUUGACGGAGACUUAUCAAGG
rnacentral:rRNA from 1 species